CCAAUAGCGUAUAUUAAAGUUGUUGCAGUUAAAAAGCUCGUAGUUGAAUUUCGAGAUCAAAUUGUUGGUCGUGCCUUGGUACGCACUGGCAUUAUUGGUUUCUCCCUUCUGAAGAAGCAUGAUGUCAUUAAUUUGGUGUCUUGGGGAAUCAGGACUGUUACUUUGAAAAAAUUAGAGUGUUUAAAGCAGGCUCGCGCUUGAAUACAUUAGCAUGGAAUAAUGAAAUAGGACGUUUGAUUCUAUUUUGUUGGUUUCUAGGAUCGACGUAAUGAUUAAUAGGGAUAGUUGGGGGCAUUAGUAUUCAAUUGUCAGAGGUGAAAUUCUUGGAUUUAUUGAAGACUAACUACUGCGAAAGCAUUUGCCAAGGAUGUUUUCAUUAAUCAAGAACGAAAGUUAGGGGAUCGAAGACGAUCAGAUACCGUCGUAGUCUUAACCAUAAACUAUGCCGACUAGGGAUCGGAUGAUGUUAAUUUUUUAAUGACUCAUUCGGCGCCUUACG
rnacentral:rRNA from 1 species